GAGUCGGACCUGCCCGGUGAAUAUAUUUUAACGGCCGCGGUACUCUGACCGUGCAAAGGUAGCAUAAUCAUUUGCCUUAUAAUUGAAGGCUAGUAUGAAUGGUUUGACGUGAACAAAGCUGUCUCUAUAUAAUUUUUUAGAACUUGAUUUCUAGGUGAAGAAACCUAGAUAAUAUUGAAAGACAAGAAGACCCUAUUGAGCUUUAAAAAAAUAAAUUGAAGAAAUAUAUAAGUUUAAAUAUUAAUCUAUUUUAGAUUUUGGUUGGGGCGACUAUAGAACAAACAAAGCUUCUUUAUGUUAAUAAAACUAACAGGUGUUGAUCCAAAAAUUUUGAUUGAUGAAAUUAGUUACCAUAGGGAUAACAGCAUAAUUCUCUUUGAGAGCUCUUAUCGAAAAGAGGGUUUGUGACCUCGAUGUUGGAUUAGAAUAUCCUAAAGAUGCAGCAGUCUUUAAGGGUUGGUC
rnacentral:rRNA from 1 species